CCUGGGGCGGGACGCUCCACAUGCGCCCUGUGCCCAUGGCCGUACCACGUGGCUGUCAUCAGGGCCCCACUGUCCGAGCUGUCCGGGUUCCUCCGGCUCACCUGCAGACCCUUUACCCAGACCCUGCGUGUGUGACCUCUUCUCAGCCACACUUCGCGGGGAGACUGCAGCUACUGCAAACUCUGCGCUGUGCUGGCCCCUCUGGAUCAGAAGCUGGAUCAGAAAAUCGAGUCCCCUGGACCACAUCCUGGUGGUGAAGGAACCCAGGCCUCAGCUCUGACUUGGAAAACCCAGGCUGCAAGGAGAGGCCGCAUGUCUCAGCCGCCGGCUCCCACGGAAGCUCCCCAGCCUCAGCGCUAGACACACGCACCCUCAGACCCCAGCGCCAGCCUGCGAUGCCCCAGCCUGUAACAGUGGCCACCCUGCGAUGCCCCAGCCUGUAACAGCGGCCACCCUGCGAUGCCCCAGCCCGUAACAGCGGCAGCACUCUGCAGACCCUUCCCACCACGCAGGCCGCUGUUCACUGUUGGCGUGGCCUAGUUCACAGCGACCAGAAAGUAAAUUACAUUAUUCUGCAACAAAGGGUCGGUGCUCGGAUGUUUUCUAUCCAGGACUCAGCAUUAGUCAGUGACAAAUGUACCUGAAGGCCACAGUCUGAGCCUUUGGAUAAGUUGAAUUUGUGGACUAGUUUAGAGAGAAACAUCAAUUUACAAUACUGAAUACCUUUUAUGAAAAAAUAAAUCUGUGUAACCAAAAAAUAAGAGAACGCCAAUAGUUGGCGCCAACUGCAUGUGCAUUGUUAUCUUCGAAGUAGUUAGUACAAGACAUAAACCAAAAAGAUUCUUACAAAAAUAAACCGAUAGUACUCAGACUGCCACUUCAGUGAACUAAGAUUUACUAGUAUAAACUAAAAUUUAUUAGUAUAAAUGAAAUAAACUGGCAUAUAUAUGCAAAUGUUUUUUAAACAACAGGACAUGUAAUUUGGGAAGUCUUGGGAGUUUCCCAUCGUGUCUCUUGUGCUCUGCUCCCCGUUUGUACACACGGAUGUGGGUCCCGUCCAGAGGAGACCACACGGCCCCGAGCUGUGUGUCCCUCAUGUCACCUAACACUACGUUCUCAAGCAAUAGUGGAUCCUUCUAUCUGCAAAUACGUUGUCAUUAAAUAAUUUUCUUAACCAUCUUUCAAUAAAAAUGUUUCUUCG
rnacentral:lncRNA from 1 species